rnacentral:rRNA from 1 species
GAUGAACGCUGGCGGCGUGCCUAAUACAUGCAAGUCGAGCGAACAGACGAGGAGCUUGCUCCUCUGACGUUAGCGGCGGACGGGUGAGUAACACGUGGAUAACCUACCUAUAAGACUGGGAUAACUUCGGGAAACCGGAGCUAAUACCGGAUAAUAUCUUGAACCGCAUGGUUCAAUAGUGAAAGACGGUUUUGCUGUCACUUAUAGAUGGAUCCGCGCCGCAUUAGCUAGUUGGUAAGGUAACGGCUUACCAAGGCGACGAUGCGUAGCCGACCUGAGAGGGGGAUCGCCCACACUAGAACUGAGCCACGGUCCAGACUCCUACGGGAGGCAGCAGAAGGGAAUCUUCCGCAAUGGGCGAAAGCCUGACGGAGCGACGCCGCGUGAGUGAUGAAGGUCUUCGGAUCGUAAAACUCUGUUAUUAGGGAAGAACAAAUGUGUAAGUAACUAUGCACGUCUUGACGGUACCUAAUCAGAAAGCCACGGCUAACUACGUG